UACGUAGGAUGCAAGCGUUGUCCGGAAUUAUUGGGCGUAAAGAGCGCGCAGGCGGUGUGCCAAGUCAGAUGUGAAAUAUCCAGGCUUAACCUGGAGGGGUCAUUUGAAACUGGCAGACUAGAGUACAGCAGAGGAUAGCGGAAUUCCCGGUGUAGUGGUGAAAUGCGUAGAUAUCGGGAGGAACACCAGUGGCGAAGGCGGCUAUCUGGGCUGAAACUGACGCUGAGGCGCGAAGGCUAGGGGAGCAAACAGG
rnacentral:rRNA from 1 species